rnacentral:sRNA from 1 species
UCCAGGUCAUCGUGGAGGUCCACGUUCC